rnacentral:lncRNA from 1 species
GCCAGCAGAGGGCGCGCGCCCUCCACUCGGCGCUCCGCAGCCCCGCGAGUUCCCACAGGGCCUCGCGCGCCAUGGGCUGUGCGAAGAGCAAAGAGACGUGUUGGGCUGCCCGGCGGCAGCAGGAGGCCGUGGGCCCGAGCUGCAGGGCCCACCGUUCCUCAGAUGAAGAAACUGAGGCACAAAGAGGUUAUGAAACUUGCCCAAAGUCCCACACUUGGUGAUCCUGUUUGAGCCAAGGUCUGAGAACGCGGAGGUGAAGUUUUGGGCCAGAGUCAAGCCCUUUUCCUGGGCAGAGGCUCCUGUCCUCGGCGAUGGGGCUGAGGCUUGCAUGGAGGUAGCU